GACGAACGCUGGCGGCGUGCUUAACACAUGCAAGUCGAACGGAAAGGCCCUGCUUUUGUGGGGUGCUCGAGUGGCGAACGGGUGAGUAACACGUGAGUAACCUGCCCUUGACUUUGGGAUAACUUCAGGAAACUGGGGCUAAUACCGGAUAGGAGCUCCUGCUGCAUGGGGGGGGUUGGAAAGUUUCGGCGGUUGGGGAUGGACUCGCGGCUUAUCAGCUUGUUGGUGGGGUAGUGGCUUACCAAGGCUUUGACGGGUAGCCGGCAUGAGAGGGUGACCGGCCACAUUGGGACUGAGAUACGGCCCAGACUCCUACGGGAGGCAGCAGUGGGGAAUAUUGCACAAUGGGCGGAAGUCUGAUGCAGCAACGCUGCGUGCGGGAUGAAGGCCUUCGGGUUGUAAACCGCUGUCGCCUGUGACGAAGCGUGAGUGACGGUAAUGGGUAAAGAAGCACCGGCUAACUACGUG
rnacentral:rRNA from 1 species